UCAUCUCUUGAUCAUAAUCUCAAUUCAGAGUUUGGAUCUCAUAUCUGACUUCUCUUUCGCAUAUCAAGUUAAAAUACUUGAUUUAAAUAUUCUGAACAAUUCAUAUAAUAAAAUAUUUAUUAUAUAAUUCCAAUUAUCACUUCAUAUAUUAUUUCCAAUCAUGUUUUCAUGGAAAAUAAUUAAUAAAAACAUUUCUGCUUACAGAAAU
rnacentral:lncRNA from 1 species